rnacentral:rRNA from 1 species
CAAUAGCGUAUAUUAAAGUUGUUGCAGUUAAAAAGCUCGUAGUUGGAUUUCUGCUGAGGACGAUCGGUCCGCCCACUGGGUGAGUAUCUGGCUCGGCCUUGGCAUCUUCUUGGAGAACGUUGCUGCACUUGACUGUGUGGCGCGGUAUCCAGGACUUUUACUUUGAGGAAAUUAGAGUGUUUCAAGCAGGCGCACGCCUUGAAUACAUUAGCAUGGAAUAAUGAGAUAGGACCUUGGUUCUAUUUUGUUGGUUUCUAGAGCUGAGGUAAUGAUUAAUAGGGAUAGUUGGGGGCAUUCGUAUUUAACUGUCAGAGGUGAAAUUCUUGGAUUUGUUAAAGACGGGCUACUGCGAAAGCAUUUGCCAAGGAUGUUUUCAUUGA